CGUUGUACACACCGCCCGUCACACCACGAAAGUCAGCAAUACCCGAAGCCGGUGAGCUAACCCCUCGGGGAGGCAGCCGUCGAAGGUAGGGUUGAUGAUUGGGGUG
rnacentral:rRNA from 1 species